ensembl:lncRNA
AGAAUGGCUCUUAGCACGUUGUAAAUCGGCUUAUUUGAUGACAUUUAUGAAGUAAAUCUGUGUCAUCGGAUUUUGAAAGAAAAAGGUGAUUGAAUUUCUAGCACUGAUUAUUUAUGCAUUGAAAUCAUGUAUCUGAAUGUUUUUCAACGUUAAAAUAUUCAACCGCAAAAAAUUCAACCACAAAAAAUUCAAAUGAUGUUGCGGUUUGAAUUUUUUUGCAUUGCAUUUUUUUCCAUUUGUUCUUUUGAGUUGUAUCUUAUAUUUGUGUUAAUUAUACAUGGUUUAUGCUCCCAUUGUCAGAUGUGACUAUCAAUGCACCAGAUGAACAGUCCAUCAUGACGUAUGUGUCACAGUUCCUAGAGCACUUCCCUGGCAGAGAGGAGCCGGAGGAGCCCGUCCCGCCGAUCGAACGGAGUGUCUCCAUGGGCCGACUCAACUUGCGCGAGAAGGACUCCAACCACAUAAGGAAUAGUAUCCAGCAAAGCCGAGUGAAGGAGAGGUCCCACAUGUUUCAAAGGGUCUGUACCCAAUCGCCACCCAGAAUCCUGAUUUCCUCAGUGUCAGAGGACCGGAGUGCCAUGUCCCCCCCCUUCCGGCCAGCUGCAGCUCGCUCGUGGUCCAGUGAAGAUAUCUUAGCGGAUUCCCCCCACAUGGAAGAAAUCUCAAGCAGUGUGGCCGAAAAGCCCCAAGAAUCUGCCAGUGACGUCUCGACCAACUCAACCUCGAAGUCCCCAGAAUUGUCUUACGCUCACUCACCCACAGGCUCAUCGCUGCCUGAGUCCGUCACCUCCGAGCCGAUGAUUGGCGACUCAGCAAUAAGCUCACCGGACUCGUGGGUGGAGAGCGAGUUGGGGGGGGAUGCAGGAGAGGCUUUGUGAGAGUGACAGUUCUUUGUGUGACAGUGGAACAGCCUGGGAUGUGUAUCGUGCCACUCCUGUGGAGGUCACUAAUCUGGAUGAAGGAUGCGUCCUAUCCAUGGAGGAAAGGGCACCCGAGGAGGAGUCCAUUCCAGAGUCGUACGUGGACGAAGGCAUUUGCUCACUGGGCUCAUUGGAGAGCCCCGUGCAGAAAAGUCAAGGGGAUUUUGAGAAGAAGCAGCCGGAAGUAGUGGAAGAGAAAGAGGAGGUGCACCUUGAGAAGUACAACCAGGACAUGCCUGUGGAAAAGGUACCCGAUCAUUGCAAGGCUGAGAUUGCAGAAGAAGAACCGAGUGAACAGACGAUACAGGAUACCAGUCAGAGCAGGGAGCCGGAGCCUUCUGUAGGACUCUGCAACGCAGUGGAACUGACCAGCUCAGCUGUGGAAAAGCUCCAUGAAAGUGAUCAUUCUAACCAGUCGCAACCCAAGAAAAACAACGUUGGAGACAGGCCUGUGGACCUCAUUGAGGGUGCAAGGGAUCACGAAGGACAAAUUGUAGGUCUGAAUGAGAGCGGUAACUCUGAGGAACUUCAAGGGGAAACUGAAUGUCAGGAAAGACAAGAAAAUACAAUGAUUGAUGAUGUUGGAGAAACACGAGAGGAAGCAAGUGAAGAAGUUCUAAGAGAAGACCUGAAUGCACAAGAGAACUUUAGUUCGGAGACAUUAGCAAACACGGAUCCAACCAGCCAAGACAGAGCUCCAGAAACAAGUCUGGACCCAACCGCUGGCAGAAAUGUUCCUCUGAUCUCGAUUUCAAGUGAGCCAGAAGAGCAGAACCUAGAGGGAAUAUGUGACCCAGAAAGACAACAUCCUGCUUGGCAAGAUGAGGUACAGCCAGAAGGAACUGACCCAGAUGUCGACUGCCCCCCAAAUCCACAUGAAAACAACCUUGACUUCAAUUACAAUGUGGACAUUCCAUUGUGUCCGGUAACAGAAAGUGAUCAACCAAAAGCUUCAGAACAAACAGGGGACAGGGAAAGCCAACAUUUGGAUGAACAUGGAACCAGUCAGAACAUCGGCGAGCCCGACACAGGAGAUAAAAUGACAUUGAGUGAAUGUGAAUUAACUUGUCAGACUUCUUCAGAAGCCACACCGGUGAAUGCCGAGCAGGAAAUGGAUUCCACCGAUCAGCCGGAUGGACACAAGGACACAGCCGCCACCGAGCAGAACACACCCGAUUCUGUGAACUCAAAACCAAACGGUACUUUUGAACCAGGUUGUCUGCACAGAGACACAGACUUGUUUUAUACAGACUUUGAUCAGAGUCCCGGCCCAGAGGAUGUCGCCGGUGCCCCUGUUGAACCCAUGGAUCUGUUCUACCCUGACAAAGAGGAGUCCAUGUUUCUAGAGCCACCAGAUGCUGAGACGCAGAGUUGGCCUUCGGUUUUGAGUGUAUCCGCCCUCAAGCCAGCUCCUGCUUCGGAGACUCAAGCCGAUCAGCCCUCCAGCCUGCUGGGUGAAGACUUCAGCCAUGGAGCGGAUUGGACCCAAGAGAACGACGAGCUGAUCCCGAAGACCAACCAGGACACUGACGCGGCAUCUAAACCCCAGGAACUGUGUGUGCUGCCCGGGGAGACGACAGGAGGACUCUGGGGGGACGACGCUCCAGCAGACGGCAGUGAUCUCAGGACCUCGGGCCGUGCCAGGGAAAACACAGAGCCUGUGAGUGAAGGUUCCAUCAGACAGGAUGAAAGCCAGAUCCCUCCAGUCCUCCGGCACAGGAAGGCCGCUCGCUCCACCGAGUCCACGGGCGAUCGGCCGGCUGUGACAGCAGCGAGCAGCGGAGACGACAAUGGCGACUCCGACUCCGGGUGCAGUGACAGCUGGGAGCUCUACGUGCUGCUGCUGCUCUGGCUGCUGCUCUACUGCUUCUGGCUGCUGCCCCAGAUGGACCUGAAGACACUUCCCAGCCUGCUGCUCAACCUGGAGCCCUGAACGCACACACACACACACACACACACACACACACACACACGUAAAGCACCACCACCAAAUCGCACACUACAGUCCUGAAGAGGAGGAGUUGUUUUAGCUUUGUGCUGUGCAGCUUUCCAUGUGGCUCGGAGGCGUCUGUAUCUCCACGUUCUGGGGAAUAUUAUGAGAAAAGCGUUGUCGUUUUACAGGAUGAAAAGUCAUAACUUAUCAACAAUAACGUUUGAACUAUUCGUUAAGUCAGAUUAAAAGAAAUACUUGUAUUAUUAGAAACUUGGCUUUUAUUUUAGGAGUCUAUGGUUUUGAGAAAAGUCAGUGCUGUUAAAGUAAAUGUAAAAUAUUUUUGUGUUAUUAGAUUUUGUUUUAUGAUCAUUAUUAUUCAAAUAUAAAGAAACGAUAUCAUCGUAGUUAUAGAUCGUAGCCAAAGACCUGUAAUAAACAACCAGAAGCGAGACGUUUUCCUUCUUAAAGGUGUGACUUUAUUUAACAUUAGAACUUCUUCUCAUGACGUUGUUGUUUUGGUCCAAAUGUUGCAGUUAAAAUGGGAAAACCUGAUUUGUAAUUUACGACGGUUCAAAGGCGACACGACUGACAUUGUGAGACAACACGUACAGCACUCUGAUUGGUACAUGGAGAUAUAUACUAUGGACUCAUGGACUGAAUAGCCAUUUAAAGUGAAAGUGCUUUAAGCUGAGGGAGAUUAGAACAUUCAAACAUGCAAACCUGUAGGUGAUCUGAAGGUAACUAAUGAAGGGGGAUUUUGAUCCGUUGCACAUCGUGAAAAAGAAUCAGAACUGCCAAAGAAAUGCUUGAGAGAUGAGUAUAAGACAUAUGCAUUAACGACAUGUAUACGCUCAAUACGGUAUCCAUGCCAACGAAAAGUACACAACAACCUGUUUUUAACAAAGUCAAUCUGGUACUAAAGCUCCGCCCCAGUGGCUCUAUAUUGUAUCAUAGUCGAGCAGAACAUGUAUUUGUAAUAUUUUGUGUCUUAUAAUGGAUUUUUAACGUUUUAUUGUAAAGAAAUGUUUUAUGUGAUUGAGACUUGCUUGUGAAAAGAGAAUGCUUUACGAUGAAAUAUCUUUAUAUACAUAUAUGCUAUUUUUGAACAUUGUCUGACAGAGCGCGCCUCCUUCACCCCGUCCUUCCUCCACCUACAGCUCCUCCACCCGCACUCGGCCGGGUCAUCGUCAGCCCGUCUCCCGUGUGAGUGCUGGACGUCCGGUUGCACUUUAACCCUCGUUAGAGCCAAACUGUCCCUUCUAUUGAUCAGCAUAAAGCACACAUGCAACUGUCUGUGGAACACGUGAAGCGCCUGCCAAUGUUACCGUGCUGCUGGGAAGGAACUGAGAAGGAACGCUCAUGAAAUGAUGCAUUAGCUUCGCUAUUAUGUAUGAAUGUUUUGCCUUUUUGUCAGAUGUGUUUAUAAAAAAAAUAGUUCCUCACUAAAAAAAGUUCCAUUUUUUUUUAAUAUUCUUUUACCAAAUGAGUUUGUAGUAAUACCUUCUGCACUAUACUGUCUCUGAAUAGACCUUUGAGUCACCCUGACGGGAAGGGGACACAGCUCCGUUUACAAAAGAGGUCCAAGGGCUCGAGGAGCUUCACGUCCACCCGUGGAGGUCAGGCUGAAGGUCCUACUCAGGCCCCUCAGGUUCCAGCCUCUUUCACCACAAAUGAAUCACACCUCCACACGCUGCUGCCCGCCACAUGUGUCCGGUGCCUUCAACAAAAACAUGUCCAACCACCGGGACAGUCCCUUGAGUCUGAGACAAAAGGGCAGUUUGAGGUCUUUACAAGGGGACUGUGUGUGUCUUUGUGUCUCCUCCACCCAGAGGACUAACCUAGACGCACAUAUUGGCUUAGUCAUUGCAAAUGUUUCAUCAGCACCAGUGGACUGCGAUUAAAGACGUGUCUCAAAGCCGUUGUCUCUAGUUGUGAAUGCUUUGGAUUCAGGGGAACUGACUGAUUCAUCUGGGGAGUAUUUGUAUGAGUCUUGAGGUUAAGGAAAUGUCAGUUUGCACUGUUAGCUGCAAGCCGCCGUAUCAAUGUUUUUACGGGAAGCAGGAGGCUCGUGGAGACAAACCUCAGAUAAUUAGCAUUCUAAGCUCCAUCAAGCUUUUUGUUCUCUUUCAUCAACCCAGAAGAAAAGGCCCCACUUUGCUUCAGUCUCACAGCCUGAUGAGCCCGGGGCGAACACCUAAACCCUGUGGGAACUCUCAGAGUUGCUUUUAGCAUCAAGGCGUAUUGGACGAGUCCUAGAUGAGCCGUGAUGGAGGAAACCUCCCAGAGGAACUCUGAGUAAGUGAGGGACAGCCUUCAGAAUGUGAGCAUCUCUGGCUUCUCUAGUGAGAUCGGCCACAAGCGUUCUCUCUGCACCCGGUCUCGUCUUAACUUGUACGAGUUCUACAAUUCAGAGGAUUUUAAAUAGUUUUAGCUGAGUGCGGCGUACUGCUUCAAUAUUAGCAGAUGUCAGUCAGCGAUCUGCAGUCAGUUCAUGUAUGAAACGGCUGAAAUGAGCAGUUAAAACUACCAAUAUUUAGUGUAGUUAUUAUGAGGUGACCAUUUAUUUUGAAUGGUCGCUUUACAUGAACCUCGAACCACAAUUUCAGUUUUUGUUCUGUUCAUUUUUUGUUUCUUUACUAAACAUAGAUGUUUAAGGCCUGAUCAUUUAUUGUUUGGUACCGCUCCACUGCUGUGCUGUGUGUGUGUGUGUGUGUGUGUGUGUGUGUGUGUGUGUGUGUUGCCAUCUAGAGGACAUCAUGUAACACUGAACAGCCUCAGCGCGGCUGAACACAUUCAGGAGGUUUUUGUAAAUAUGGCAGUGAAGCGUCUGCUGCCCUUUGAUCGGACAUGGUAAAAACAUGGAUGAAUCUGCCAAUAUAUAUGUAACAUCUGCGAACAGUAAAAUAUGAAAAUUAACAAAUGCUUAUCAUGCACAUUUUUGGCAAUCGUUUGUUCUCUAUUAACAUAAGGGAUCCCCAACGUUCUUUUUCACUAGAAAUUUGAAAUGUGUUCAUGCGAAAAGAGAGUAUAUGUCCUUUGCAAGUGCCAUGAAGUGUUGAUUUAAACAAAUGUUAUUCUGUAAAUAUAUAUAUUAUACUUACAGAAUAACAUGUAUUUAUAUAUAUAUAUAUAUGUAUAUAUAGUAUCUAUAUAUAGUAGUAGCAUAUACAGUAAUCCCUCGUUUAUCGCGGGGGUUACGUUCCGAAAAUGACCCGCGAUAAGUGAAAUCCGCGAAAUAGAAAACUUUUUUUUUUUUUACAAUUAGCAACUAUUACAUGUAUACAAAUACAGUGACUCGCGUGUAGGCCGUUUCACUGCUCUUCAGACUGGGCCGCUGCAUCCUGACUGCGCUCUGCAGUGUUCUCUUCCUCUGAAGCCCGCGGUGCAGGUGUGUUUGUUCGGGAGAAGAACAUAGUGAUAGGCAGCUGUUGUCGCUCUUUUUUCUUCUUUGCAAAAAGAUCCUUGUACACCGACAUGCCACCAUCGAUUACGUUGGAGAACUGUAAUGAACGGCUCGGGAGUGAGUUUUUAGCGAAUCAGAAUGCAGAGCACAAUGCACCAAAAAAAAAAAAAAAUGCAAUAUGAAAAUCCGCGAAAUAGCGAAUCCGCGAUAAGUGAACCGCGAAGUGGCGAGGGAUCACUGUAUAUACAUAUAUGUAUAAAUACAGAUGAGCUGUUGUGCCUUGCUGCUUUAAUAUAAUAAGAUAAUGUGAGGUCAGUAACCGGGUUCUCCUGUCCAGUGAGAGGAACCUCCAGACUGUGAGCAGAUAUUCUCCUUCGCUUUAGUAAAACAGCGUGCGGUGUCACCGCUGGUUGUCACGCAGAUUACGUAGAUCUUUUGGCGUAGCAGAGGCCCGGGUGAAAAGAAGGGGUCCCACCGCGGAACGAGUAGCUAGAGCGAGAGCGACAGCAGCAGAUAUCCUAGGAACGAUUACAAGUAGUUUUUAGGCCUGACUGUAAAUUGAAAAGCAAACAUCAGGUGAGAUUCCCUACCAGGUCACAUACUUUGUGAAAUAACGUUACUCUGUUGCACGCGCUGGCCCUGCUAGGUGUUAGCUUGCUAGCUAAAGCUGGCUGACAUGGUGAUGGUGCAUGGGGGCUGUAGUCACCGCCCAGACGUUGUGUAGCUAAAUGCUGUAUGUAUUUAAAGGGGAAGCCGUGUUUCAGUUUGGCGGUUAGUCGCGCAGUCGGGAACAUGCGACCGCGCUCAGACAAACAUGUCUUUGACUAGCAGAAUAGAUCGAUAACUGGGUUCAGACAGGCGCAAUCCGUCAGCUGUACUACGCGCUAGCCAUGCUAGGUUAUGCUAACGCUACGUUGCUGAGGAGGUUUUCCAUUGCAGUCAGCGCGAUGUCAAUAUUUGGUCACUAACGCUGUGUUAGAGGCUAAUAGACUGCGAGGCAUUAUGUGGUUACUUCAGCCUGUCCGUACGAUAGAGUCCCUGCCAGCCUAAAGCAAAGUAACGCACUCAGUCAUUUGUCAUAUGGACAUGUUAACGUUAUUAGCUAGUGUAAGCUAGCAUCCCCCUGUUCAUACUAGCGUUAUAGCACCGACAAUGAGGCCAAUGCUCCCUACAGGGUUCGUUGUUCUGUAGUAUUAAAGUCCCGUCAAGCAAGUAUCCGCUCAUAUUUAAUUUAAUAUCUUUAACGUUAUGGUAAUGUUUAUUAAAAGUUCGCUCAAUGCUAAUAACUUGAAAUGCCUAGUUACUAGCAAGCUAAUGUGGCCAGUGUUACUCAGCAUGGUGUCUGCUAGUAACUGCAAAGUUAACUAAACGUUUGUGUUCACAAUUUGAGUUGGCAUGUUGGUCGGUGUUCACACAUUGAGCCUCCCACUCUUAAUGAAACUGCCAAUGAUAUGACGCAGGGUGUGUGCCUGCUAGAGCUGCCUUCCCCCGCCUGGCUUCCUUGUACUAAACUGAGGGGCCACGGCAGAUGUGAUGGCAGGUGUCAUGGCAGAUGUGAUGGCAGGUGUCAU